rnacentral:lncRNA from 1 species
ACAGCAAAGGAUUAAAACCACAAGAUUCACAGUGAUAAUCAGUUAAUGUAGUACUUUUUCUUGCCGUUGACUAGACAGACAUUCAGGUAUGAUAUUGGAAAAUGCCAAUAACUCUUCCGCCACAGAAGAAACUAAAUAUAUAGGAACCUACAACACAUAAACACCCAGUUUAAUUCAUAAAAAACAUAUUCCAGCUGAAGCAAAGUUAGGUAUCCACAACUAAUGUGCAUUGGUCAGAGAGGGAUUCAAAUAUAACAUUUUGCAUAACAGAUGACAAUAGGCCACGAGUGCAUAUAAUAUCUGGGAGACAAAGAGUCUCUCAAUGCUCAUUCUUUCACACUAUCAGGAAUACAAUUAAUAUUACAACUAUGAAUUUACAUCUCCAACAGCAAGGCCAAAAAACAGCAGUGGAAGAUAUAGGGGCAAAUGCUACUAUCUCUCGUCCCUGAAAGUAUACUCGGUUUUCAUACCAUGGUAUGGAAUGAAGAAGAGUCGGGAAAAUUUCACUGUUAAAUCAACAUAUAAGUCACGAAAAUUAUCAAGCCUUAGAGAAGAGAACUGGUCAUGGACUUUCGAAAGUGCUGAUUGUAUACAAGGGAGAGCUUUAAAGUUUUUGCAACCUCUUCUCUGUGAUUCUUAAUUUGCGCCAUAGUUGGAUUAUCUGGCAAAGGAUUUACCUCUCCUCCAACCUCUACCACUUGCCACAGAUCAUAUGCUCGCAAGUAUGUUCUCAUCUUGAUAGCCCAAACUGGAUAAUUCUCACCAGAAAAAAUUGGGGGUGAAGGAAUUGAAAAAUUGUUGGAAGCCAUAACAAUAUUGACUUUUACACAGGUUUUUCUUUUUUUGGUCUUCUCUCUCACAGAUCCCUCAAGAAAUUGGCUCUUGAUACCAAUUAUUGUUCUACAAAACACAAAGAAGAAGAAAACGUUUGAGAAUAAAAAAAUAUUCUGCUUGUUUAUUCAUCCACAUUUGAGAAUAUAAAUAGACAAAAGAUUCCUAUUCUACUUCUAACUAGGAAACUAAUAAAAUCCUAUUCUACCUUCAAUUAGGAUACUAAUAAAUCCUAUUCUAUCUAACUAAAUAACUGAAUUUCAGAAAUAAAAUUACUAAACUAAAAAAGAAAAUAACAGCAAAUAACUCAAUACUUCAACAUUUUCAUACAACACCUCUUGAUCCUUGUUCUUGCAAAUUUAGCGAAUAAACUACUUAUAUAGCACUAUAAAAGUAUAAAGAGCUAAAGUGCUAUUAGCUACACAUGAGAUAGGAGGAUCAAAAAGAGUAAGCUUACUUCAUCCCAGAGAUAAAUGAACAUAAACCGUACUUCAUUGACAUAGGCUUAAAAGGCAAGAAAGCCAAAUUGAUAUCAUAUCCUUCCCGUGAAAUAUGAUACAUUAAAAAUAUGGUCAAGCAUCACAGUGGUCAAAAAACCAGGUGCAUGAGAUCUGAAUAUAUGAAUAUCAUAUAGCAGUUAGGCACCUCCAUAAUAAGCAAUGAGUUGGGAUCUUGACACCAAUGUUGAAGGAGAUGGACCACAGGCCCAAGUCGCAAACUCAAGUGAGGACAGAAUACUAUGCAAGGAUCCUGCCAACUUGUUCUGAGCACAUAACAUUAGACUAGCUGACUAGGUCAAUGAUAUUGAUGGUCACAGUACCUCCAAUAACAUUUAUUUUCCAAUAACCGCAUACAACAACGAAAUCAAAAGAUGUAAAAGGGUAGAAAAGUGUAAUAAAGCCAAAAUAGUGUCUACGGCAAGCUUAUAAGCAGGUUACUGUGAUCAUUUCUUUAGCUUAUAUCUCGACGUGAGGGGACAGAAUUUAUCUUACAGGAAUUUCAAUGAAUGCAUUGCAGGAGAUACCAAGAGUUUUUUCUCGUUUGACAGCUGAACGUGACUGAAUAGCAGCCCAGGCGCAGAAUAGAACUGUGGAUCCACACAGAGAACAAAAAGAAAUACAUUAUAUCUAUUUGUGACUUUCUGAGUUGACAGCAAAGGAUUAAAACCACAAGAUUCACUGUGAUAAUCAGUUAAUGUAGUACUCUUUAAUGCCGUUGACUGGACAGACAUUCAGGUAUGAUAUUGAAAAAUGCCAAUAACUCUUCCGCCAUAGAAGAAACAAAAUAUAUAGGAACCUACAGCACAUAAACACCCAGUUUAAUUCAUGAAAAAAAUAUUCCAGCUGAAGCAAAGUUAGGUAUCCACAACUA